rnacentral:rRNA from 1 species
UACGUAGGGGGCAAGCGUUGGUCCAGAUUUAUUGGGCGUAAAGAGCGUGUAGGCGGCCAGGUAGGUCUGCUGUGAAAACUCGAGGCUCAACCUCCAGACGUCGAUGGAAACCGUAUGGCUAGAGUCCGGAAGAGGAGAGUGGAAUUCCUGGUGUAGCGGUGAAAUGCGCAGAUAUCAGGAAGAACACCCGUGGCGGAAGGCGGCUCUCUGGGACGGUACUGACGCUGAGACGCGAAAGCGUGGGGAGCGAACAGG